rnacentral:rRNA from 1 species
CGGCAACAGCUCAAAUUUGAAAUCUGGCCUCUUUCGGGGUCCGAGUUGUAAUUUGUAGAGGAUGUUUUGGGUACCGCGCUGGUUUAAAUUUCUUGGAACAGGAUGUCGUAGAGGGUGAGAAUCCCGU